GCAGGUUCAAUAAAAGGAAUAAGCAAAUAUUCCAGAUUCGCCUGCGUUUGCAAACAAAACCUGUUGCAAGGUUUGCAGGUUUUGAGGUUACUCCCCCCCUCCCCCCCUCAAAACAGCUAUUUGGGGAUUAAAAUUGUUCUGGACUGCUGCUGCAGGAGGAUAUUUUUUAUUCCCUUAAAGAUGCAGCUGUGUCUGAGAGGAACAUUUUGGGAGGAUUCUUGUGAGGGUUUGGUCACUCUCCUUUCUUUCGGAAUCCAUCCCUGUGCAUACAUUACGUCAACAGAGUCCAUUUUCAGAGAUUCAUCUCCCUUCUCCUGGCAGCAUUCCCCCUCUCUUUGCCUCUUUCCUCCCCUCUGACUUCUCCCUGGCUUUUUUUCCCAGUUUAUCAAGAUGUUGUAAUGUUUCCUGCUGCUCCUCACAGUGCUGCCCAUGGUGAUAGAUGCCACCACGGGAAGGAGGGAGACAAAUCCUGUGGGGAAACGCUGGGAGAAAGAAUCCAGGCUUCACGGAGGCUGCUGCCAGUUCAGGGUGAAGUCCUCAAGUCCAUCUGUUUUAUCCAGAGGAGUUAAGGGACCUAUGACUGACAUGAGUGUUCCUGGUCGGACAGCCUGAGCAGCUCCUCAGCCUUCCCAUCGGACAUGAAAAAAAGCACACCACAUGGACUUGAUCUAUCUUAUCCUGCUAAAAAUCCCAGGGAAGUUUUCCCUCAGGGGUCUCCUUCAAUCCCAGUCCUUUCUGCCUGGGCUGGGCACUCCAGAUUGUGGCAGUGUCGUAGCCUCAGUUACUGCAUCUCUGUCGUGAUAGUACUGCUCCAUUUGGGUAUAGGGGAGACAGCAGAACGAGUCCGAAGGAGAUUAUAUAAAUAAAGAGCAGCAAGGAGGAA